GCGGCGUGCUUAACACAUGCAAGUCGAGUGCGCAGUCACUUGUAGCAAUACAGGUGGCGGGCGCACGGCGCACGGGUGCGUAACACGUGGGCAAUCUGCCCUCUGAUGGGGAAUAACCCGCCGAAAGGCGGGAUAAUACCGCAUAACAUUCUUUGGCCCCCGGGCUGGAGAAUCAAAGGCCGCAAGGCCGUCGGAGGAGGAGCCCGCGCCCGAUUAGCUAGUUGGUGAGGUCAUGGCUCACCAAGGCUUUGAUCGGUAGCCGGUCUGAGAGGACGACCAGCCACACUGGGACUGAGACACGGCCCAGACUCCUACGGGAGGCAGCAGUGGGGAAUUUUGGACAAUGGGCGCAAGCCUGAUCCAGCAAUGCCGCGUGCAGGACGAAGGCCUUCGGGUUGUAAACUGCUUUUGUACGGAACGAAACGGCCUUUUCUAAUACAAGAGGCUAAUGACGGUACCGUAAGAAUAAGCACCGGCUAACUACGUGCCAGCAGCCGCCGUAACAC
rnacentral:rRNA from 1 species